AAACGUCCAUGUGAUCGAACGCGGCCGCU
rnacentral:sRNA from 1 species